CUAGUAACGGCGAGUGAAGAGGAAAGAGCUCAAAGUUGUAACCUAUUUGGCUUAGCCAAAUCGGAUUGUAGACUGGAGAAGUGUUUUAUGGCACACCGGGUAAAGAAGUCCCUUGGAACAGGGCAUCAUAGAGGGUGAGAAUCCCGUGACUUUGCCUGAGAAUAGUUGUCAACUUUAAUACGCUUUCAAAGAGUCAGGUUGUUUGGGAAUGCAGCCUAAAUUGGGUGGUAAAUCUCACCUAAAGCUAAAUAUUGGCGAGAGACCGAUAGCGAACAAGUACCGUGAGGGAAAGAUGAAAAGAACUUUGAAAAGAGAGUUAAACAGUACGUGAAAUUGUUAAAAGGGAACCGUUUGGAGCCAGACCGGCUUUACCGUAAUCAAUCUAGGUUUCGACCUGGAUGCACUUGCGGUAUGUGCCUGCCAACGACAGUUUUUUCUGAGGGAAAAAAUUAAGAGGAAUGUGGCCCCUCGGGGUGUUAUAGCCUUUUAAAAAAUACCUUGGAUUGGACUGAGGAACGCAGCGAAUGCCAUUAGGCAAGAUUGCUGGGCGCUUUAACUGAUAGAAGCUAGAAUUUCUGCCUUGGGUGGUGCUAGUUUCUAAAGGGUAAACUCGUUUAGUAUAUUUUUUAUUCGCUUAGGUUG
rnacentral:rRNA from 1 species